UACGUAGGCAGCGAGCGUUGUUCGGAGUUACUGGGCGUAAAGCGUGCGCAGGCGGUUCGUUGUGUCGGCGGUGAAAGCCCCGGGCUUAACCCUGGGAAUGGCCGUUGAAACUGGCGAACUGGAGUGUGGCAGAGGGGGGGUGGAAUUCCGCGUGUAGCAGUGAAAUGCGUAGAGAUGCGGAGGAACACCGAUGGCGAAGGCAGCCCCCCUGGGCUGACACUGACGCUCAGGCACGAAAGCGUGGGGAGCAAACAGG
rnacentral:rRNA from 1 species